CGUACGCGAAAGGGGCUUCGGCCCUGAGUAGAGUGGCAAACGGGUGAGUAACACGUGGGUGACCUGCCUUCGAGCGGGGGAUAACGUUCCGAAAGGAGCGCUAAUACCGCAUAACAUCCUGCCUUUGGAAAGGUGGAGAUCAAAGCCGGGGAUCGCAAGACCUGGCACUUGAAGAGGGGCCCGCGCCUGAUUAGCUAGUUGGUGGGGUAAUGGCUCACCAAGGCUACGAUCAGUAUCCGGCCUGAGAGGGCGGACGGACACACUGGGACUGAGACACGGCCCAGACUCCUACGGGAGGCAGCAGUGGGGAAUUGUUCGCAAUGGGCGCAAGCCUGACGACGCAACGCCGCGUGGAGGACGAAGAUCUUCGGGUCGUAAACUCCUGUCGAGCGGGACGAAUGUUCCGCGAGCUAAUAUCUCGCGGAAGUGACGGUACCGCUAAAGGAAGCCCCGGCUAACUCCGUGCCAGCAGCCGCGGUAAUACGGGGGGGGCAAGCGUUG
rnacentral:rRNA from 1 species